CCGAGCAAAACAAAAGCCGUGGUUUCUUGUGAUGCAGCGGGAUUUGUCAAAAGUUUUGCAGAACAAUGUACGCCGAAAGAAUGGCGAUAAAUUAGAUUAAAACGAAGUUGCUAGUUCGUGUUCGGAUACCGCAGUUCGGAAGAGACUAUCAGUUUUGUACUGUGCGCUAGUAAAAGUACUACCGGUGACUCACAAUAUUGGCUUCGAGGGCAAAAAAUUAAAGUUCAAGACAAGUCAAAUUCAUACCGAAUGUACGCUACUGGCAGCACUGGGUGAUGUUUUUGGAUCGAGUGUUUUCGUUUCGUUUACGCUAAGCACAGUUUCGCACGGAAUUGCGGCGUAGUCGGGUUUGUUGCGCUUCAACCGACUGGUUUGCGUAAAGGGCAGGAGAAAAACGUGUGCGCGGCGUUUUGUUGUGACUUCGAUCGCCGUGACGGUGUGUUAGGAAGGAAAUUGUGUGAUCUACAAACUGCAAUAUUCGAAAACGAUUUAUCUAGGCCCUUGAUUUUGAAACCCAUAUUACCGUCAAGCGCAGGAUAGUACUUAUCAGCGCUUGGGCCUCGGGGGGAGGAAGCGCUGUACCUUUCGCCUUCGGCGCGAGGUGUGCUUGCGACAGACUGAUAAAAUACGCCUUUCACGCCGAUAGGUGAGAACACACUUGUUGUUUAUUUUGUUGACUUGUGCGAAGCUGCUGAAGCGGAAUAAUCGGAGAAGACAUCGGCAGCGCAAAGACGAUUAACACUGGGGCGAGUUUUAGUUUAUGUCAGCAGAAAGCAGUGACGGUUAAUUCUUGGGAAAACGGCAAUCAAGGAAUAUGUCAACAAGCGGGAAAAAAUCAAUAUGCGCCAAAGUGGGUGGCCUUCGUCAUUGCAUGGUGGGGGCAAUUAUGGUUUUGUUGCUUCCUUCGGGAUCGUCCGGUAAUAGCCUGAUCCUGACCGGCGAAAAUUGCACCUUACGAGAGCCACUGUACAACAUCGCAUUCGACCUUAACCCUUUGAACUCGGAACUGGCCCAUCACGCCUCAUCGGACAACAAUGAGAAGUUUCUGUUCGAUGUGUGCGAUCAGUUGGAUGCCCCGUGCAAUGGCGUUUCGGGUGGUGCCGCCUGCCUGCACCGUAAGGAUGGCACCGAAGUGCUGUUAGGGAUGAAAUCCACCCUACAACUGGUGGAUGGUAGGAUACACUUUAACUUCAGCGGGGGCGAAGCUUGUCACGCAAACCAACACUACUCGUUGGAUAUAAUUCUGCUGUGCAGCUACACAGUCGAAAAGGAUCCUAUGAACGUUAUUCCGUACUCACCGGACCAGUGCAAUUAUUUCAUGUUCUGGAGAACGAAACUGGCCUGUGCGCCACUGCCGGAUCGGCUGAAGUCGAACGAGUGCGCUGUAACCGACAGCACCGGCCAUGUGUACAACUUGCUCCCGCUUAGCCACGUCAAUCAUCACGUUCCCGACAGGGACGGAUCGCACUUCUUUGUUACGGCCUGCAAACCCGUCCACUACGGUCACAUGGUUAUGUGUCCCCCGGGUGCUAGUGUUUGCUAUGUCAACGCGGAGGAAACUGAUUACGCGCGAAAGUAUCACGAUUACGGGCAGACGGAUCCGAAUCCGACCAUUGAGGAGGGCAAGCUGGUGAUGAAUUUGAAAUCGAAUGAAGGAAACUGUCAGCAUUCGAAGAUUAUUUUCGAAUGUGACCAGUCGGCUGUCGAGGAGACUCCUGAAUACAUUGGCAAGGAAGGUUGUACUUAUUUGUUCUCCUGGAGGACUUCGCUGGCUUGUAAGACGAAGGAGUCGUGUGCCGUCAUUGAUCCAAUCAGUGGAAAGCUGUUCAAUAUGACGUUGUUAGCGAAUCGGAAAUAUACGAUGGAAAAAGGGGAUCUCACUUACGAAUUCGGAAUUUGUAGCAUGAGUGCACAUAGCCAGUGCCCUGACCAAUCCGGAGCUUGUCAAGUCACAAAAAACAACACACAAGCCAUGAGUUUGGGAGCCAUCAACGACAAUCUGCUGUACAACAUCACCGGAGCACCGUUCCUCCGUUACACCUCCGGGUCGAUUUGCAACCCAUCGGGUCAGAGAUGGUCCACAAAAAUCGAAUUCGUGUGCGAAACCGACAAAGGAGAGUAUGCGCCGCCCAAGUUGGUGGAGAACACCAACUGUGAGCUUAUAAUACAGCUGGAAACAGAACUAGCCUGCACGAGGGAAAUUUCCUGUCUAGCGAUGAACUUUUCCAACGACGACGAGGUAGAUCUCAGCUCACUGAUAUCGGCGGAAGCCAAUUAUGAGGCACGAAUCAACGACACGUUGGCAAUAGCCAAAGACAAGCGGUUAAAAUUUUUCCUCAACGUUUGCCGACCCCUUCUGCCGAAGUUUGGCCUUGGAUGUCCGGGUGGUUCGGCUGCAUGUCUAGCGAUCCAAGGCCCAAAUGAUCCCACCCCAACGAACGAACUUUCGCUCGGCUAUCCGGACGUUUCGCUAACCGUAGUUGGGGAUAGAGCGCAACUCAAGUACCUCCGGGGUGACAUCUGUCCGGGUGACAACUCCACUGAACUGUCCACCGAAAUUGAAUUCUACUGCCGAACGACCGAAGGUCUAGGGUCACCGAUUUUGCAAGAAGUACUACACGAUUGCCACUAUCGAUUUGAAUGGCCCACGAGUGCGGUCUGUCCUAGUUUCGACGUUGCCUUCCGGGCCGAGGGCUGUGAGGUAGCCAACAACCAGACGGGUGAAACCUUAGAUUUUAGGAAGAUAUUCGAAAGGGGGGAGAUUUCGGUGCGCCCGGCUAAAAACAGUGUUUCGCAGGAACUGAGGGACGGAAAGAUCCAGAUUUGCGACAAGAUCGUUAGCGCCGUGGUGGAUUAUAGGGACCACUCGGUGAACGUGUACUUUGCGGUGGCCGAAGCGAGCUGCGAACGAACGCGAGGAUUUAUGAAAGUGAAUAUGCGUGUAGUUUGUGAGCCGGAUGAAAGCUAUGUCAUAAAUCAGCAAAGCCCGUGCCAUCUGCUCAUGACGCAAACGUCACCAAAGGUUUGCGCAUUCGUUGGUGCCACCGUUUCGAACCGAAGUGAGCCUCAUCCGCCGAACGAUGGGAACCACUCCGGCGCGACUGACAAACCAGCAAACCAGACGGACACUAAUAACUCGGUGACUGAUGAUGUCGGAGGCGGUACCGUGGGUAUCAUCUUGGCCGUUUUGACACUGAUUUCACUGGCGGGAGCAGCCGCUUUUCUGCUGUUACGGAAUCCAGAGCGGCGCGCGAAUAUGCGGGAACUUUUGCGGGGACGCAAUGUGCUCGUGCAGUACUCGAGGGACGGUAUCGGCGAUUAUUAGCCGGAUUUGUUUGCUUCCUGCCCCCACACAAUCUAUUGCGUUUCAUUCCGUUAUCCAGUUGCAUCCAGGUUCGCACCAACGAAGAGGCUGCCAGUCUUCUAAUGCAACCACCGGGCACCCUCUCCGAAAGCGAUGAUGAGAUGCUGAUUUAGAUACGACACAAAUUGCCCUUCUGUUUUUUUCCUAGCGCAGUGGUACAUAAUUUUACCGGGGUUUGUCAGCCUAGAAGCUUCGAGUGUAUUUUGAUUUCCUAAUAAUUUUGUUCACGAGCAAAGCUCGGAUCGAGUUACUUAAAACCAUACUUAAAAACCCGAUGAUUUCAAUGAGUGAGAUUUAAACUUAGUAGAAGAAUUGAGAAUGUGUUCGUGUUCAGUGUAAGAAAAACAGGACCAAUACGAAGGCAGCACUUUUCAGACGAUGAGUUACUACUAGAUAGGAUGAGGAGACGAGACGGGAGUAAAUUCGAACGUAAUUGACAGUUAUCCAUUCAACAACAUGCUUUAAAUAAUAAACUUAUAAAUAUAUUUUAUCUAA